UACAACCCCCAUAUGAAGAAUUCAUUUGGUGGUAUAGCAUAUGGUACCAUUAUAAAAGGAUCUUGGAAGUCUUCUAAUCCUAAAGUGUUUCGCUUCUCAUCCAAGUAGUUUCUUCAGCUCUGACAGGGAAUGGAAGGGUCUUCUAAUCCUACUGAGGGCAGGAAUCUUCAGACAAUCCCAGAAAAUUAGCUAUCCAAUAUUUGAGAACCUCCACUGAUGUACCCAUAACUCCAGGAGGCCCUGCAUUGGUAACCACUAAGCUUCUGAAUGCAAUUCUAAAUGCUAGUCUUGACUUAUAAAGUCUACAUUGCUUGGCACUUUGGUACCUAUAGGACUAUAUACGCCAACCAGAGUCAACUCAUCCAAGGAAGACUUUCCGAGAAAUGCUGCUCAUGGUAUUCCACUUUCAUGAUGUGAGAAAGGAUGACACAAGAAGGUGAAGCUUAUCUAUUAAGACAUCAGUGCUCUGGAAUAUCCUGCAGGCAAAAUUUGGCCUCUUUCAGCACUGGCUUUCCAGAAGUUACUGAAGAUGAACUUUGUUGAAUGAUUCUUCACUAUUAGCUUUAUUAUAUUUAUUCAUUUAUACUUGCUAUUUUAUUUGGUUUAUUAGGGUAUAUUGUUUGAGGAUAUUAUUUGGGAUUAUGGAUUAAAUUUCUCAUUUCUUAUC